AUGUUUUCAUCCUCCGGCGCCUCGCCUAGCCUCAAUGGCCAGGUCACCGAGAAGCUCAAUCGCACGAACUACGUGCUAUGGCGCACGCAGGUCACACCCCACCUGCGGGGCGCCGGUGUCUUUGGCUACGUCGACGGCACCACGCCGGAGCCGGUCAGACUCCACGGCACGAAGGACAAGGUCGGCAAGGAGACUUCUGCGCCCAACCCUCUCCACCCACUUUGGGUCCGGGAGGACCAACAGGUGCUUGGCUAUUUGCUGAGUACCCUCUCCAAGGAGGUGCUGGUCGCGGUCAACGCGAUCACCACGGCGCGCGAACUCUGGGUGGCACUGGCGGGCAUGUUCUCGUCCCAGUCACUCAGCCGCGUCAACAACAUCAGGACUGCGCUCAUCAACGCGCAGAAGGGCAACCAGUUGGUAGCCUCCUACUUCACCUCCCUCCGCAGCCUCGCCGAUGAACUCGCCACCGCGGGCAAGCCUAUCCAGGACGACGAACUGAUCUCGUACAUUCUCCAUGGCCUCGACAUCGACUACCAGCCGCUCGUCUCCGCCCUCGACGCCCGCGUCACGCCCGUCACCAUCGACGAGCUCUACGCCAUGCUGAGUAAUUUUGAUCAGCGCAUGGCUUCAAGGAAAUAUGCCUUAGAGGCAAUAAUAAAGUUAUUAUUUAUUUCCUUAUAUCAUGAUAAAUGUUUAUUAUUCAUACUAGAAUUAUAUUAA
rnacentral:rRNA from 1 species